GAAAUACUCCCUCCAUUCUGAAAUACUGGUCAGAGAAAUAAGUAAAAAUUGAUGUAUCUUGAACUAAAAUACAUCUAGAUACCUCCAUUUCUCUAAGAAGUAUUUCUGGAUGGAGGGAGUACCAC
rfam:Triticum aestivum genome assembly, contig: Triticum_aestivum_CS42_TGACv1_scaffold_436444_5DL